CUUUUCAGUACCUGAAAAUUACAGGUUUGGAUUAAGUGUUUGGUGUUCUAUUUGCUUUAAUGUGAUAGUCCCUCAGGCAGUGGCUAUAUCCAUCUGGACCCAGUCACUCCUGUAUAUAAAACCUUUAGCCAAAUUUCUCUAUCUCCUCCAUUAAUGAACAUUUACAGAGGAAGUUGUUCUGGCUUGCGUUGCCUCUGUCAGCUAUAGGUUUGACUAUACAAUAAGCCUUUUCUUUGGUGAGGUUCUUCUUUAAUGUAGGCAUAUCUGACUUCAAUGUCUUCCUUCUAGUCUUUCUUCUUGGAUACAAGAAGAAUGUAAUACAAAGGCAAUACAAAGUAAGCUCAUUCUCACAACCAGCCCUAUCUGGGUGGGCUAGCCCAAGUAGGGCUGGCCAUCAGAAGCCCUUGGGUCACUCCUGAACCUGCUGCUCCCCCCAUGGGCAGCUCUGGUUUGAAACCCAGGCUGAAAGUGAGGUAGGAGGACAAGCUUGAGCCUCUGACCUCACUUUCCGGCUGAGUCGUCAAGCUGACGGCACCUGCUCUGGCCCUUAAAAGAAGAAAACCCAGAUUUAUAUUACAUUCAUUAUGGUAUGAGUUUAUUAGUCACUUUUCAGCUUAAAACACCUGACUUCGAAAAGUCACACAAUUUUUGUUGGGACUUACAAAAAAGAAUAGCUUAUUACAAAUACUUUUUAAAAAUGUAUUACUCUUACAUAAAUUAACACUGAAAUAAGUAUUGCAUUGAUUGACAUUACUACUUUUCAGCAGCUUCAGGCUGAAUGGCUAACUGAUUGUUAAAGGAUUGAACAAUCAGCCUAGUGAAUCACUGGCCUUCCUUUAAGUUUCCAAAAUACUGGUUAAAGCCUUUUUUUGUUCCACAUCUCUCAGUAACUCCUCUGAAAUUUGCCCCCUGCUGGUGAAAGAAGUAUAACUACUGUUUUAAAGACUUAGGUAGUAGGGAUGUGCAAACCACGUCUAACAGAACUGGGUUCGAUGUUGAACUGGCCCGGUUUGGCAGGUUCAGUGUCCAACCAGACUGGUUCAGCUGGCCCAGUUCAGAGCUAACUGGUCCGGCUGUUUCUGCAUGCUUGCAAAAGGGAAUCUCAUAAAAAUUCCCUUUGCAAGCAAAGUGGGUGCUCUAUGGGGUUGGAAAUGGUGGGGGAACAGGUGUGUGUGUGGGGGGGGUCAACUUAUGCACAGUGGUGGUGUGGCUUCUUGGUGGCAGGUCGACGGCAGCUCCCCAGACCCUGUCAGUGCUUCCCUCCAUCAGCGCAGGUUGGUGGCAGCCUGACUCAGGCCUUCGUGCAAACACAGAGGCCCAAACCAGGCCCCCACCAGCACAGACUGAUGGAGGGAACAUUGGUGGGGCCUAGGGGACCUGCUGCUGUCUUGCCACUGCUGGACCGCUGCUGUUAAGGAGCUGCACCGCGACUGCAGCACAUAAAGUGACCUCCCCCCCCGCCCACUAUUUCCAACCCCAUAGGGUUUCCCCUUUGCAAGCAUGCAGAACCAGACCAAACUGGGCCAAACGGUUCAAUCCAGUUCUACAGCACAAACUGAACUGCCACCAGUUUUAAUGAACCUGGUAAAGGACCAGGCUGUUUGGUUCGUGUUCGGUUCGAACUCAAACCGAACUGCCCAGAGUGGUUCCGUGCACACGCCUGUUAGGUAGACAGUAAGGGAGGCAGUGAUGCAGUGAAGACAAAAAUAGAGGGACAAACAAGAUAUGCAGCAAACUGCAUUUCAGAGAGGCAAGAAUACUAUUCAGAUAUUAUGUUCAAGGAAUGUGCAAUCUCUGUACAGUUUAUGCACAUAAACUGUAAAGAUCUGAAUGUAUGUAUUCAUUCACACAUCAUGUUCAAAGCACAUUCAGUAGUGCCUUUCCUUCCUGUACCCUAAAUUUGAGGGGGCCUGUACCCAGGUUCUCUUUUAGAGUGGAUGCAUGAAUACAGGUGAACUCCAUUUUCUGCGGGGGUUCUGUUCCUGCAGAUUACCGUGGAUAAUGAAACUACGGAUAAUGGAGCAUUAAAGUCAAUGGGAUGGGGUGGUAGUUAUUUUCCCAGAAUACAAAAAAUCUUAGAUGAAAGGGGGGGAAUCAAAAUGGGUGAAAUAAAGUGACCUCCUCUGCUCCGUGGGCCUUCAGCAGUUCAACGAUGCCACCCCCAAGUCCCAAAGUCCCCUGUGGGAGGGAGGUUUGCUUUUUUUAAAAGAGGCACAAAAUGGCUCCUCUUCCUAAAAUGGCAGCCAAAAAUGACCUCUGAGGUCAUUUCUGGCUGUCCCAAACCAGCGGAUAUUUAAAAAUUAAAUCUUUUACUCUGUGUAUGCUGAGGUCAGGUGUCAAUUACCUGACCACGGAUAUGCAAAACCCCAGAUAUGGAAUCGGUGAAUAAUGGGAUUUGCUGUAAUCACUCACACAUAAACAGUUGUGCCAGAGCACCCUUGCACAAAAUUUAAGAAUUGCACAAGCCUGCAUGAUCAAUGGCCAAUGAAAAUAAUGGCUAUAGACUGUGCAUCUGCAUUUGUGCAUUUCUUGUGUUUUGCGCAAGAGUGCACAUGUGCAACCAUAUGCAUGGUCCAUUAAAAGGCAGACGGAAUGUUGCGCAGUAUGUAAGGAUAGGGUUACUUAUGCUUAAUUCUGGAAGUGUUUAACUAAAAUAAGCCACCAGGGACUUUUACACACAGCAUGUUUUACUGAACGUUUACAGGGAGGCUUUACUGCUUAUUCGAAGUUGUCCCCGCAAAAAUGACACAAAUAGUGGAUUUUUUUACCCCAGAUAUAAAUCCAGUUACACUCUAAUGCAAAUGAAAAGCCCAAAUUGUGUGUGAACAGCUCCCAGAUAAUGCGCAGGGACUUUGGGUUAAAUCUAGCCGAUAUGUGAAUGCACCCCCUCCAUUCCAGAGGAGAUGUGAGUUAAAGGGCUACACAAGUCCUGUGUGAAAAGCUUCCAGGGAGAGUGAUUCAAAUCAUGACUGCUGUGCAUAUAACACUCUUUUUCCUGGUGAUGUUUGUUUGUUGAAAAUUAUCUCCCGCUAAAAGCUGCUAUUUGUCCACAGUGUUUCUGUGAAGAAAUAGCUACUUCAAGGGCAAGUAGCAGCUUGAGGAAGUAACUUUGGGACUGAAGCAGGCUUUCCAAUAGAAUGGUUCUGGAAGAAAGGGCUAACCAUCUAGAGAUCAUGGAUUCGGGCAGUAUAAAAAUGGAGCACCAAGUGUAAACUCUGUCCAAUGGGCUGGGUGCCACAAAGAGGAAAGUGCUACUGGUUUUCUAAAGAGAAAAAUAAGUGGACUGUGGCCCGUGACCACUGUUCCAGUAAGGAAGCCCAGAUGCUUAUGAUCCAGGACUUGGAAGAAAAGGAAGUCACACGGACCAUCAUACAAGGGACAAGUCGUUUUUGGACUGGGCUUCAUUUUUCAGCCUCCAGGAAGCAGUGGAUCUGGGUUGAUGAUUCAUUGUUUGAUCAAACAUUGUUCUCACUACCCCUUCGUGCAGAUGGAACUCAGUGUGGGGCUUUUAAAGAUGACCAAAUUCGUUUAGAAUUGUGUAGUGAUGAAUUUAAAUGGAUUUGUGAGAAGGAAGCUGUUCUCAUCUAAUGUGGGGCAUCAAAAGGACACUAAUUUUAAUGCAAUAAUACGACACCUUUCUCUUGCCUGGGAGAUCUGAUUAAGCAUAUUGAUUCAAGUGAAUGACUUCCCACAUUGUUUUUCUGUCUGUCUUCAACAUUUUGCAGCUUUCUGUAUUUGUGUGGUUAUGGUAUAUAUAGACAUGACUAUAAACUCUGUUCUAUAGGUUAGGCUCUCUGACUUUGGAAAUAGAGUAUAUAAACACAUCAUCAUUCCACUUUAUUCUUAGUUAACCUAGAGCAAUUCCUUCCAACCUCCCUUUCACAUUCUCACACAACCAGUUUGGACUCAUGUUUGUAAAAAGGUCAGGAAACUAGAAAAGAAUAUACCCUAUCUCCACGUCUUGUCUACUCUUUUCUAUAUCUAAGGAAAGAAAUGCUUUUUCAUCUGGUCAUUAUUAAAUUUUGGUGCAUGUGACAGAAGCCUGAUGCGAACUUCUUUUUUUAAAGAGUGUACAUUCCAAUCUAUGAUGCUUUCCCCUUUAUUUUGCAAAUGUAAGAAAAUAUAAAACUCGGUUUAAGCUUC